UACGUAGGGUGCGAGCGUUGUCCGGAAUUAUUGGGCGUAAAGAGCUUGUAGGCGGUUUGUCGCGUCUGCUGUGAAAAUCCGGGGCUCAACCCCGGACUUGCAGUGGGUACGGGCAGACUAGAGUGUGGUAGGGGAGACUGGAAUUCCUGGUGUAGCGGUGGAAUGCGCAGAGUAUCAGGAGGAACACCGAUGGCGAAGGCAGGUCUCUGGGCCACUACUGA
rnacentral:rRNA from 1 species